GACGAACGCUGGCGGCGUGCUUAACACAUGCAAGUCGAACGGAAAGGCCCUGCUUUUGUGGGGUGCUCGAGUGGCGAACGCGUGAGUAACACGUGAGUAACCUGCCCUUGACUUUGGGAUAACUUCAGGGAACUGGGGCUAAUACCGGAUAGGAGCUCCUGCUGCAUGGUGGGGGUUGGAAAGUUUCGGCGGUUGGGGAUGGACUCGCGGCUUAUCAGCUUGUUGGUGGGGUAGUGGCUUACCAAGGCUUUGACGGGUAGCCGGCCUGAGAGGGUGACCGGCCACAUUGGGACUGAGAUACGGCCCAGACUCCUACGGGAGGCAGCAGUGGGGAAUAUUGCACAAUGGGCGGAAGCCUGAUGCAGCAACGCCGCGUGCGGGAUGACGGCCUUCGGGUUGUAAACCGCUUUCGCCUGUGACGAAGCGUGAGUGACGGUAAUGGGUAAAGAAGCACCGGCUAACUACGUG
rnacentral:rRNA from 1 species